rnacentral:misc_RNA from 1 species
UCCGAGUUGACCCCGGCAGUCUCCUACGAGUCCCCGGCAUUACCCGCUGGCAACAUAGGACAAGGGUUGCGCUCGUUGCGGGACUUAACCCAACAUUUCACAACACGAGCUGACGACAGCCAUGCAGCACCUGUGUGCAGGUCCCCGAAGGGAAGGAGCCCGUCUCCGGACACCGUCCUGCCAUGUCAAGGGCUGGUAAGGUUCUGCGCGUUGCUUCGAAUUAAACCACAUGCUCCACCGCUUGUACGGGCCCCCGUCAAUUCUUUUGAGUUUUAACCUUGCGGCCGUACUCCCCAGGCGGUCAACUUCACGCGUUAGCUUCGUUACCAAGGAAUUGCUUCCCCGACAACCAGUUGACAUAGUUUAGGGCGUGGACUAC